rnacentral:rRNA from 1 species
UACGUAGGGUGCAAGCGUUGUCCGGAAUUAUUGGGCGUAAAGAGCUCGUAGGCGGUUUGUCGCGUCUGCUGUGAAAACUCGGGGCUUAACCCCGGGCCUGCAGUGGGUACGGGCAGACUAGAGUGCGGUAGGGGAGACUGGAAUUCCUGGUGUAGCGGUGAAAUGCGCAGAUAUCAGGAGGAAUACCGAUGGCGAAGGCAGGUCUCUGGGCUGACACUGACGCUCAUGCACGAAAGCGUGGGGAGCAAACAGG